CUUGGUUUUUGUCUCUUUCAGUGAAAGAAGCUGGAAAAGAUUUCACAUAUUUAAUUGUGGUGGUUGUUGGGAUCGGCGUUACAGGUGGUUUAUUCUAUGUGAUUUUCAAAGAGUUAUUCUCUUCCUCCAGUCCCAGUAAGAUUUAUGGAGAUGCUUUAGAGAAAUGCAGAGCUCAUCCUGAGGUAAUAGGUGUUUUUGGUGAACCCAUAAAAGGUUAUGGUGAAGCAACACGCCGUGGGAGAAGACAGCUUGUCAGGUAACUGUUAACUCAUAUC